AUAAAUAAAUAAAAGUACUUGCUUUAAUGUUACCUUAUUAAGCAAAAACUGUCCAUUUUAAAUAUUAUUUUGCUAGUUCCAUAGUCUUUUUCUAGAACUAUAUUUAAAAUUCUUAAACAAGUACUCUAAGCAAAAUCAACUCACUAAAAUAAUGUGUUUGGCUUUAACUGCUUUCAAUAAGGUUAGUUCUGUUUUUCCUCUUUUCGUCUUAUUGUCUAACUGAAACUUUGUACCCUUUAGCCAACAUCUCUCCAUUACCUUAGCCCCUCUCUCCACAAGCCCCUGGUAACACUAUUCUCUCUUCUUUGCUUCUCUGAGUUUGACUUUUUUAUAUUCCACACAUAAGUGAGAUCAUGUAAAGCAUCGUAAUCAGGAGCCGUCGAACAUAUGCCUUCUUCUCUCCAUCAGGCCGAAUCGGGGUGUUGA